CCUACGGGGGGCUGCAGUGGGGAAUAUUGGACAAUGGGGGCAACCCUGAUCCAGCCAUGCCGCGUGUGUGAAGAAGGCCCUCGGGUUGUAAAGCACUUUCAGUGAGGAAGAACGCCUGGUGGUUAAUACCCAUCAGGAAAGACAUCACUCACAGAAGAAGCACCGGCUAACUCCGUGCCAGCAGCCGCGGUAAUACGGAGGGUGCGAGCGUUAAUCGGAAUUACUGGGCGUAAAGCGCGCGUAGGUGGCUUGAUAAGCCGGUUGUGAAAGCCCCGGGCUCAACCUGGGAACGGCAUCCGGAACUGUCAAGCUAGAGUGCAGGAGAGGAAGGUAGAAUUCCCGGUGUAGCGGUGAAAUGCGUAGAGGUCGGGAGGAAUACCAGUGGCGAAGGCGGCCUUCUGGACUGACACUGACACUGAGGUGCGAAAGCGUGGGUAGCAAACAGGAUUAGAUACCCCAGUAGUC
rnacentral:rRNA from 1 species